CACACACACAUACACAAUCACACACACACACAAUCACACACACACACAAUAACACACCCCCGCCGCGGCAGCCCCCUGGGUCUCGUCCGCCAGCUGAGAGAGGAAGGCAGGAGAGACCCGGAGGCUGCGCCCAGCCCGCGGAGCCCACCGGCCGUCCCCUCCAGGCGCACCCGGCCGUCUGCAGGCAGAAAGGACUGCACCAAAAGUCGUCAAAAGAAGUUCUGUAAAACGUCAGCCUGGGAGAAAGAUGGAUGGAAAGUCAUGUCCCCUGACACCUGCCCCAGGAGGGGCUACCCCCUCUAUUUCUGCAGAAAGAGUUUGAUUUAUGACUUUCGGAAGAAUUGCGUUCAGCCCUUCCAGCUAUAACCCACGCAUCUCAGCUCCACAGCGUGUUCCAGGGCUGGGAGACAACACUGCUCGCACGGAUGGACAGCAGAGCCCCGUUCACAAACCCCCAGCCAAGCCCCACUCGCUUCUGCGAUGACUGAUUUCUUGGAUUACUCGGCACGUGAGAAGUAACCAACCACAUUCUUCGUGAGCUCUGAUAAAUUUUAAGAUACGUUUUCUGAAAUAUCUUGCUGGCUGUUAAGCGCUGCUUUCUAGAAUAACAGGAUUAUUUAAAAGAAAACAAAAACAACCAAACCAACCAAACGCCUUUCCUUUCGUUCAUGUAACAGGCUGGUUUCUGCAGGAGACGUUUAUCCUACUGAUUCUCUCUUACGUUAUGCCUGUAACAGAGAAAGUCCUCGUUCAUGCUUUUGUUACAGCUCAGGAUUUUCAAGCUUUGUAUCCUCACAGACAUAAGAUGCCACAUUUAUAUAUUAAAAGGAAC